GAACGCGAAGAACCUUACCAGGUCUUGACAUCCCUCUGACCGCUCUAGAGAUAGAGUUGUUCGCUGUCGGGACAGAGGUGACAGGUGGUGCAUGGUUGUCGUCAGCUCGUGUCGUGAGAUGUUGGGUUAAGUCCCGCAACGAGCGCAACCCCUAUUGUUAGUUGCCAUCAUUUAGUUGGGCACUCUAGCGAGACUGCCGGUAAUAAACCGGAGGAAGGUGGGGAUGACGUCAAAUCAUCAUGCCCCUUAUGACCUGGGCUACACACGUGCUACAAUGGCUGGUACAACGAGUCGCAAGCCGGUGACGGCAAGCUAAUCUCUUAAAGCCAGUCUCAGUUCGGAUUGUAGGCUGCAACUCGCCUACAUGAAGUCGGAAUCGCUAGUAAUCGCGGAUCAGCACGCCGCGGUGAAUACGUUCCCGGGUCUUGUACACACC
rnacentral:rRNA from 1 species